CAGAUAGUAUGAUACACAUGUACACCUGCUCCCUCUAUGGACAUAAGAGAUCAGAACAUGACCUAUGGUCUAUAUAUGCAAACUGCAAAGUGGCUGCAGCAUGGGAAGUGAUGCAGUCCAGAGGCCUGGCAGGUUACUGUUUGCUGGGCUAUGUGUGAGAUGGUUUAGGUUGUAGGACAAUGGAAGUUAAUAGACCAUGGACAACCUGCCUCCUGGGCUUGUGUAUUUUCCUUUGUUAUGUUUUUGUGUUUUAAUCCUGCAUAGUUUUUAAAGCAAUUUAUUGAUACAAUGUAAUGGAGCAGCAGAAGAUUCUUAAGUUAUGGAAAGAACCAUGCCCUAAAAUAAAUGUUUUUGAAACUGA